rnacentral:rRNA from 1 species
AAUAGAUACCCGGUAGUCCACGCCGUAAACGAUGAGUGCUAAGUGUUAGAGGGUUUCCGCCCUUUAGUGCUGCAGCUAACGCAUUAAGCACUCCGCCUGGGGAGUACGGUCGCAAGACUGAAACUCAAAGGAAUUGACGGGGGGCCCGCACAAGCGGUGGAGCAUGUGGUUUAAUUCGAAGCAACGCGAAGAACCUUACCAGGUCUUGACAUCCCGGUGACCACUAUGGAGACAUAGUUUCCCCUUCGGGGGCAACGGUGACAGGUGGUGCAUGGUUGUCGUCAGCUCGUGUCGUGAGAUGUUGGGUUAAGUCCCGCAACGAGCGCAACCCUUAUUCUUAGUUGCCAUCAUUCAGUUGGGCACUCUAAGGAGACUGCCGGUGAUAAACCGGAGGAAGGUGGGGAUGACGUCAAAUCAUCAUGCCCCCUUAUGACCUGGGCUACACACGUGCUACAAUGGACGGUACAAACGGUUGCCAACCCGCGAGGGGGAGCUAAUCCGAUAAAACCGUUCUCAGUUCGGAUUGUAGGCUGCAACUCGCCUACA